rnacentral:rRNA from 1 species
AUGUGGUUUAAUUCGAUGCAACGCGAAAACCUUACCCACCUUUGACAUGUUACGGAAUCCUUUAGUAGAGUAGAGGAGUGCUCGAAAGAGACCGUAACACAGGUGCUGCAUGGCUGUCGUCAGCUCGUGUCGUGAGAUGUUGGGUUAAGUCCCGCAACGAGCGCAACCCUUGUCAUUAGUUGCUACAUUCAGUUGGGCACUCUAAUGAGACUGCCGGUGACAAACCGGAGGAAGGUGGGGAUGACGUCAAGUCCUCAUGGCCCUUAUAGGUGGGGCUACACACGUCAUACAAUGGAUGGUACAAAGGGUCGCCAACCCGCGAGGGGGAGCCAAUCCCAUAAAGCCAUUCGUAGUCCGGAUCGCAGUCUGCAACUCGACUGCGUGAAGUCGGAAUCGCUAGUAAUCGUGGAUCAGAAUGUCACGGUGAAUACGUUCCCGGGUCUU